CCGGGGAAAUAUAAAAUAUUACAGACAAAUCAUGAAUUCGAGCACAUAUAUCAGACUUCAAUAAAUAUACAUUAUUAUAACCAGGCACAAAGAUGUACAAAAAUAUAAAUAAAAAAGGAUAGAAUAUGUUGACCUUUUCCAAAGCUAAGGUAGAUGCCAGUAGUUGAGUUGACGUUACAAUGUGGUCAUUUGACUUAUGUGGUGAAUUACGGGAUCUAGAGCUAUAACAAGAUAACUUUGUAGUUUUCUUCUACAUUUGGACCAUUAAGUGGCUUAUCGCCAUAUAAUUCUUUGUUUGGAAACAAGCUUAUAUCAUCAUUUUCAGACACAAAAACUCUGUCUAGACAAAAGUUUCAGUACACUGCAAUAUCUUAUUCAUAUCAGCACAUGGAUAUCCUAAUUUAACAUAAAACAUAAAAGAAAACUCGAUUUCGUCGCGAAGAACACUUUGACAUCAAACGCGAGAUGACGAAGAAGGCAACAAAUUAAAGGCGGUGACUCUGACUCUCUUGUGGCAGAAACUGUGGUCCGUUCAUCAUCUAUUGCAGCCAGAGGGAAUUAAGUGGAUCUGGCAGGUGUUCAUGUUCCAAGCUACGUCAUGAAUAAAAAGAUGUCAUCCGAAGUUGUUAGGGUUUAGGAGAUGUAUCUUAAUCCUGGACGAGAUACAUGGUUCUAAACUCGGUUUUAUUUAAGUCUUUUGUUGAGUCUUCGUGAACUCUUUCAAACAUGUUGUGGGUUGUAAUUUAAAUUUGAAGUCUACGUUCCAAACAAUAAUGUUGUGGUGUUUUCAAACUUAAUUUAUGGAUGAACAUCGAACGGUUUUAUCA